UUCAGGCUCAGCUGGGACAGUAUAGUGACUUAGCAAUAUCCUGUCUCAAAAUAAAAAAUAAAAGAAGAGCUGAGGAUACAGAUCAGUGAAGACCCUGGGUUUAAUCCCCAGUACUAAAAAAAAAUUAAUGAAAAAUUAUGAGAGUAUGACUUGGUUACCCAAACUGCUAUCUUUGGCUGUCUUGAUGAAGGCAUGAGUUCUAAACAGUGGAUUAGGACACAGUCCUGCUGUGUCAAGUUGGCCUGGCCAUCCCCGGAGGAUUGUCUUUAGCCCAAGGUGCCAGAUUUCAGGUUGCUGUCAACUCUUCCUGGACACAUUCGCAGGAGAGCAUGAGAUGAAGUCCUGGCCGCAUGUGCUGUGUUAUCCAUGUCACACUGCUGUGCCCCUGUGAUUUCUGGUGUUGCAGGGCUGGCCUGGCAGGCCCCACACAGCUUUACACGAGAACUUCAUUGUGUUGGUUAUCACGGGCUCAAGCUCCAGCAGAGCUGGACUGGGCUCACAGGUGGAGGAUGCCAGGAAAUAUUCAUUUUAAUGAUGGCAGCUAAUUGGUAGCUUCAAAGUCUCAUUUGUGAAGGAUGGCCGCAGAGAGUAUUGGUCUAGAGAAGAAACACUAGGGAGGCAGGUAAAGAGCUUGAAAUACUCUUAAGAGCCAUAGCACGUUAGUUUUCCAGCAAGGCCUUAACAAGUGAUCACAUAUGUAGUUAGGACACCAUUGCUGUGUCACAGUUUCUGUGGGACACCAGUUUGGGUACUGUAUGGCUCUGCUGGGUCUCUGCUUGAGACUCUGCAAGGCCAACCUCAAAGAUCAGCUGGGCCUUGUGCCUUCUGGGAGGCCCUGGGAAAAAUCCACUCCCAAAAUCAGUCAAGAGGUCCAUAUCUAGUUCCUUGCAGAUGCAGGGCCGAGGUCCCUCUUGCUUCACUGUCAGCCAGGAGCCGUUCUUGGCUCCGUGAAGCCACUUGCGAUCUUUGUCACCUUGUGCCUUCUAAUGCCAAACUAGCGGCAGUGCAUCAAGCCCACCCCCAUUUUCCUGAUUUCCUCAUCAGCUGCAUCUCUGACCACAGCCAGAGAAAGCUCCUCUGAGGAGUUCUGAGGGCUCCUAUGAUUAGAUCAGAUCUACCAGAUAAUUCAGGGUGAUCUCCCUGCUGUCAUAAUUACUUCUGCAUUCCCUUUGCCAUAGUCACAGGUUCGAGGAGCGAGGGCGUGGACAUGCUGCCGGAAGCAGCCCUGAUGUGGGAGAUAGGUUGUGGCCGCUGCAGCUGUGCCCUGCCACGGGGACAGGGAGGAGAGGAAAGACUGCUGAGGAAAGACUGCUCUCGGCAAGUCUCAGAAAGGAUCCAGGCCAGCAACUUCUGGCCACUUCCUACUCUGAGACUUUAGAACUUGCUGUGGACACAUACUAGAAAAAAAUAAGGCAGUCCAUGUGAUACCAAAGGCUGUAUGUAAAGUGCUAUAUAUAGUUGAAGUUUUGUGCUUUGAUUCUGAAAACCUAACAGUGUAGUUUAUUUAGAUAACUGAUUUAGGGCCGGGGAUUUAGCUCAGUGGUUUUUGCCGCCUGCUGCGUAAGCACAAGGACCCAAGUUCAAUACUCGGUACCCCCAAAAAAAAAAGGGAUUCAAAUAGAUAACUGAUUUAUUAAAAAUUUCCCAAUGGCAAAUAUUUAUAAUAUUUCUGUUACAUUUAAUAUUGCAUUAGUAUCUUGUCUAAGAGAGUGUACCUGUAUUCUCCCAGAUAAGGCAAAAAAGCCCAACUAUGCAGAACAACUGGAUGGAUUAUUUUAUUUCAUCUUCACGUUAAUCUUUUAGCUGAAAAGUGCCCACAUCACAGCAAGCAAAGGGGUUUAAGAAGUUCAAUCUCUUUAAGGUGCCACUAAUAAGGUGAACAAAUCUGUCCUGUUGCUGAGAGUCCUGAAGGUGACUCUGAAGAUGGCAUGACCUGUUUUGAGGAUUUAUAGCCCCAGGUUAAAGUGUCUCCAGGUGUCCUGAGGACCUCCUGCAUCCCAGUCCUGGGUUGCUAAAGAUGCAGAUUCCUGGAUCCGCCUACCCCAGAUCUAUUGGAUCCGGCAUCCACGAUUAAGCCCUGGGAUUAUGAUUCUGGGGCCAGGGGGUUGGUUUGAGUAGCACUGAGACAGUGGCUGCCUGCUGUGCCAGUCCUGUGUUUGCUCCCAGCCAAAUGGCGGCCUUCAUGAGCAGAUGAGUCAGGGCCUCCCUUUCUGUGGGGCAGUGGGGUCCAACCUCUUCCCUCUCUUUGCACAGAGGUCUCUUCCCCUGUGAUGGGAUUGAGGGUACUAUGGGAAUCUUCAGAAGUUCUGUUUUCCUCUGCAGGAUUAUCUCCACCUCUGGGUACUAGCUGAUAACUUGGGCCUGGCCCCAGUAGUGGGCCUGGACCAAGUAGUGGGAUGGUUUCACUUUUCCCUCUUUGAUACUGUCUUCCUGUUGCUUUGAAGGAAGAUUUAUUUUUUACCUUGAAUAGAAUGUUUCACAUUAAACUAAUAAGUACAGAUAGUGUCUGACUUCACUGGUUUGACUUCAGAUAUUUUCAACUUUAUUAUAGUGCAAAAGCUAUAUACAUUUAGUAUAUAUCAUACUUUGAAUUUUGAUCUUUUUCCAGGCUAGCAGUAUGCAGAACAAUACUCUGACAAUGUAAGCUGAUGUAAGCAGUGAUGUUUGGUAGUUAGGUGUACUAAAUGCAUUUUCCACUUAGGACAUUUUCACCUUGUGAUGGGUUUGUCAGGACAUGAUCCCUUUGCAAAUUAAGGAACAUCUAUAAUUUCAUAUAUCUUACCAGAAAUUUUCAUCUCAUUAUAGAGCUAAAUAUAGAAUGACUGUUGCCAGCAAUUGAAAAGAAUAUGAGGAAACUCUUACAUAACUUUUUUUUUUGGUACUGGGAAUCGAACUCAGGACCUCGUGCUGGCCAGGCAGGCACUGUGCCACUGAGCUAAAAACCUGGCCUAGUCUUACAUUUUGAAAAUUCAUAUUAUAAAGUCUCUUUAUACAUUGCUUGUUUGGAUUUUGUAGUGAUUUAGAUAGACAGUGGUCCUGAAAGUAUAUUCUACAGUGAAUUAUAACAGGAUUUGUUAGACAAAUUAGUAGCAUAGACCAGAAGUUCUCAAAUAAGACUUUUUGUAAGCUAAGGAGAAAUGUUUUGAUACCAAAAAUGGAAUAUUUGGGGAACCUUCCCCAGUUUGUACUAAAAAAUAUCAUAGCUUAAAACUUUUCCUCUGUUAUGGUUUGCUAUUCUAUGCGGUUUGAUUCUAUUGGAAACUUUCAUAAGAUGAAUUCUAACCAACCACAAACUGUAAACUUUUAAAAAGUUUGAUAUACCCAGGUAUCAAGGCAAAGUUCACUAUCACUUCCAGAUAUUCUUCCUUAAAGAUCUACUGGGAUAGAAAAGAUUGUAAAUGUAAAGGCAUUAGCUUAUCUAUCUAUCUAUCUAUCUAUUUUAUCUAUUUGCAGUACUGGGGAUUGAACCCAGGGCCUU